GACAUACUUGUUUUAUUGAGCUUUGUAGAUACUGCGUUUCAUACAAAUUGAAAUUGUUAGUGACAAUCCUGAAAUGAGCAGGUCAGUUGGGGCCAUUUUUCCAACAGCAUUUGCUUACUUUGUGUCUCUUUGUCACAUUUUGGUAAUUCUUGCCAUAUUUCAAACUUUUUCAUUAUUAUUUUAUUUGUUACAGUGAUCAUUGGUUAUGACUCACUGAGAGUUAAGAUGAUGGUUAGACUUCUUUAGCAAUAGAGUACUGUUCAUUUAAGGUAUGUACAUUGCUUUUUAAGACAUAAUUCUAUUGCACACAUAAUACACUAGUUAAACAUAACUACAUGCGCUGGGAAACCAAAAAACUCAUUUGACUCAUUUUACUAAGGUAUUUGCUUUAUUGGUGAUCUGGAGCCAGACCCACAGCAUCUCUGAGUGCUCCAUCCUUAGGCACAACCUAACAGAAUAUAUAGACGUAUUACAUCUAUUUGAGGAAAACUAAAAAGCUAUGAUGAAAGAAAUAAUAAAAUAUCCAGAUAAAUAGAGAGAUACUCCGUGUUCAUGGGCUGGAAGACUCAAUAUUGUGAAGAUGCCGGUUCCUUCUAACUUGGUCUAUAGAUUCAACACAAUACCCAUCAAAAUCCCAGCAAGCUGCUUUAAAAGUUUAUAUGGCAAGACCCGGAAUAGUCAACACAAAUACCGGAGAAGAACAAAGUCAGAGAACAGAUACUAUCUGACUUCAAGGCUUGUGAUGAAGCAACAGUAGUCAGGACCGUAUGGUAUUGGUGAAAGAACAAACGAAUAGAUGAGUAGAACGGAACAGAAGCCACACAAACAUAGUCACUGAUUUUUCACAGAGGAGAAAGGACAGUCUCUUCAACAAAUGGAUCUGGAGCAACUAACGUCCACAAAAGAAAAAAAAAAAAAGAAUUAGACACUGAAUUUAAUGUAGGGAAUUAAAGACUUCUGUUCUGAUGAAGACACUGUUAAGAGAAUGAAAAAACAAACCAUAGACGGGGAGAAAGUAUUUGCAAAAGACACAUCUGACAAGAGACCCAUAUCCAAAAUAUACAAAGAACUCUUAAAACUCAACAAUAAGAAAACAAACAGCCCAAACAAAAAUGGCUACAAGACCUGGACAGACACCUCCCCAAAGCAGGUGCACAACUGGCAAAUAAGCACAUGACAAGGUGUUCCUCAGCAUUGCCAUCAGGGAACUGCAGAUUAACGUGACAGCAGGACACCGCUGCCAUAGACCAGCAUGGCCACGAUCCAGAACACCCACAGCACCCAGUGCUGGCGAGCACGAGGAGCAGCAGGAGCUCACCCACUCUGCAGAGGGAGAGCAGAAUGGUGCAGCCACCCUGGAAGACCGUCUGGUGGCUUCUCACGGGGCCAAACACAUAUCAUAGCAAAAAAUGAUGUUAAGGCAACAGAUUAUCCAAUUGGAAAAAAUCAUAUUCCUACUCUUUACUCUUCAUUCCAUGUAAUAAAAUACAUUUCAGAUGGACCAAAGAUUUAAAUGCGAGAACUUGAGAAGAAAGCAAUGCUAAGAGUAGCAUCCGAUCCAGCAAUCACGGUCCUUGGUAUCGACCCAAAGGAGUUGAAAACGUGUCCGCACAAAAUGUGCACAUGGGUGUUUAUAGCAAUUUUACUCGUCAUUGCCAGAGCUUGGAAGCAACCAGGACGUCCUCCAGGGGGUGAGCAGGUGACCAAGGCUCCUUGAGAGACAAAACCCUCAGGGCAGCGAGGAAGGGGACCGUCCUGAGAGCCGACUGCAUGGCCCUGGGGUCUCAGGCUCCUGCCCCCAGAACUGGCAGGCCUCAUUGCCUGGUGGCCUGUUACCACUGAAACAGUAAGCCACAGGCUUCUCAAAAGCGUCUAACCCAAAAUGAGCCCUUCACCAUUUCUGAGUCUGAUCAGCUCUUCCCAGACCACUGCCUGGUCCACAUCCUGUCAAGACCACCAGAGACCCUGCCCCAGCCCCAACUCCUGGCUGCUGCCAUGUCCCCCCAAAAAUUUGGCCAGGCUGGUGCAGCCCCCACCUGGCCCUCACUGUCCUGGGGCCUCCCCAUGGCAAUGCCCUCCUGGCCAGCUCUGAGGGCUGCCACUCCUCCCCCAGGAGCUUCCCUUCACCCUCAGGAAAGAGGGAAGGAAGGCUGGCACCCACUGGGAUAUGCAGAUUCCAAAGUCCUUCGUCCAUCUGGCACGCAGCCUACCUUCCAGUUGUAUAUUAUAUUUGCCCCAUGAGAACAAAGGUAAACUCAAUGAGAAAGGCCCUAUAUUUAUAUAUUUUGUUUAACUUUUGACCCUCAUCUCCAGCAUCUUCCUUGGUUCCUGGAAGAUAAUGUGAACUUGAUAAGUCAUCACUGAAUGGGUGAAUGAGCAAGAGAACCGGGAGGGAAUUCAGGCUGCAGCUUGGUAGGCGACAGUCCUGGGUAGAGGCAGGUGGGAGGGCUCGCAGGGGUCUCAGAGGGAAGGAGCCCCAGGGGCACCCUCCCCUGCAGGGAGAGGGGAGGGGAAUCCACGUUGACUCCAGCUUCAGGGCUCCAAAAGGAGCUGGUGGUCCAGAGAUGAGGCUGACAAUUCCCCAGAACUGUCUCCCCACCGUCAGGGAGAGGCAACAGCAGCCCUACUUCUGACCCUGGGCCCCAGAAUCCUGCCUCUGUCCCCACCCAAGGCUGGAGGCCCAGCAGAGGCCCUCUCAGAACUUCAGAAUCCAAGCCAGGGCUGCCCCUGGUUGGCGCCACACCCAGCAGAUGGAUGUGGACAGGAGGAACCCAGCACUCAGGAUGUCUGGGUUCUUGCACACACACGUCAGUUUUACUGUCUUAUUCGUUCUAUGGCUGACAUUUCACGGUUCACCCAAACCCUAUUUUGACACAUGCACCAACCCACAGACCCGUCUGGGAGGCAAGGUGCAGGGUGGGAAUAUACACAGUGGUUUUUAUGUGGCUCAUGUGGACAUCAGUCAUGCCCUCGAGACAUCAGCCUGAAUCCCCAGAACUGGGGUUACCUUGCCGACUUGAGGAUUUUAGGCCAGUCCUUAUGAGGGCAGGAGGGAGGCUGCUGGCGUGAGGCUAAGGAAGGGGCCGUGGGUGCAGGUCCACCCAAGCUGGCAUAGUCAGGGAAGGUGGUCUCCCCAGAACCCGCAGAAGGAAGCAGCCCCUGACACUCUUCUUGUAGACCUCUGCCCUCCAGAACCGUGGAAUGACAAAUUUGUGUUAAUUUUUCAUUCAUGAGAACUUAACUGGGUGUCACAUAUGUGCCGAGCCAAAGCCAGAGACAUGAGCCACCCAGGUGAGGCCCCGGCACCCAGAACGCGGGUCACAGGCAGAUACCACCUGAGGGGACAGGACACUAGUUGUGGACUCAGGUCCAGGUUCACCGUGUGGGCCCGGAGCAGGCGAGUGGGGAUGGGCCCAAAUCAGGAGCACACGGCGCUUGGGAAGAAGCCCUCUGUGCAGUGAGGCCCAGAGAGAACCCUUCAGCCCCAGAAGGCUGCAGCAAUGUCUCCAGACUCGAUGGCCUGCACCCUGCCACUGAGCCAGGGCCCCCUGCCCUCUGCCCUGCACAUGGAUCCCUGGGGGGCGAGGGCAGUGCCCAGUCCACUGUGGCCCAGGGGAGGGGGGUCACAGGGAGGGGCCAUGGCUGGCGGCUGGAAGUUCUCCUGGGCCCUGCCCAGCUGCAGACUUGGCCUUCCUCUGCCUCGGGAGCUAUGCUCAGAGGGCCUCUUGCCCAGGGCGAAGGGCGAUGGUCUGUGACAGCAGAGGAAGAGGAAGUUGGCAGGCUUCCGCCAGCUGCAAUGAGUGGCAGAUCCUGAGUGUUGUUGUGAAGCUGACAGAUUCCUGAGUGGAGAACACUCCACCUCCGACCCUCCAGACAGCGCUCUAGGUCUCGGUACCCCAGGUUCCCUGCCUGCAGCUUCAUGCCUGCCCCCAGGGCCCUGCCCGGCUUUCUUCUCAGGCAGAGCACCUGUGACCGGUGUGGAUGGGGCCGGGUGCCCACCCAGGGCACCAGGGUUCCUGGCUGCAGCCACAGCAGGUGUGUGUGAGAAGGGGCGGCCCCGACUGUUAGGAACCACACCCAGACUUUGCAAGAAGGAGGGGCCAAGCACAGGCACCCCUGCGGCCGCUCCCUCAUCUCCCAGCCUCUGUCCCUGGUCCCUCUGCUUUGACACAAGUGUGUUGAGUUGCAAAACGAGGACAUCUCCCUGUGAGAAGAAGCCAUGGUGGGGCAGUGGGCAAGAGAAGUUUCUUUGUUCUGCCCUUGGAGUCAAAUGUUUGAGAAACAGAACUGAGGCAGAAGGAGGAACCCUGUUUUCUUCUGAGGGAACCCUGCUAAUUCCAUUUCUCCUGUAAAAUCCCAACCAGGGAAAACUGCUAAACCUUGAAAGUUGCCCAUCAAGCAACAGCACAAGAUACAAAUGUGGAGGGAGGCAGGCCGGGCCAUCGAGGGACAGAGAGGUGCGUGCUGGAUACUUGCAAGCAGACGUCACAGGAUAGCCUCGGCUGUCCCAGCCUCCACA
rnacentral:lncRNA from 1 species